rnacentral:tRNA from 4 species
GGAGGGAUUCCCGAGCGGUCAAAGGGGGCAGACUGUAAAUCUGCUGCUUCGGCUUCGGAGGUUCGAAUCCUCCUCCCUCCACCA